AUUCUCCAUUUUGACAAAAUUCCCCCCCGGCAACAGAGUUCUACAGAAAAUCGCACUUGGCGGUAAUUUGUCUGCGGAUCAAACAAUUGUCGAAUCAGCCAGAACUUUCGGGCAAAGGUUUAUGUUAAUGCCGUCUCGGCACUCGACACUAAUCAACUAAAGUGACUCCCGGCAAAAGCAGGCGACAAGAGGACUCCAAUUCACGAGCUGCACGCAUCCUUUGCCAAGGAAUUAUGCACUCGCCUCCGUCGCAGAGCGAAGCACAUAAAACAUUCCGCUGCAUAAUUGAACAAGUUGGCAGGGCGAGUCAGUGCGGCAGGGGGCGGGAGCGGGUGCGGGUGCGGGUGCGGGGGCAGGCAGGAUGCCAGGACGACGCCAAACGAAUUUAUGGCAGCACCCGCCCAUAUGUCUUUGGAGACUUAUUUGUUGUGCCGACUGGGUGUACGCGCUACACUCAGAGAAAAGCAAGCUUCAAUUAUUUGAAUUUCCCAAUUUUCUUAUUUAAAAAAGGUGUCUGUAGAAACGAAUGAAGGGAAUUUUUGGAACCUUCACUAAAUCAAAUAUGAAUCAAUUCGAAUAAAAUUGUAGUGAAUUUUUGG